AUUAUUCGUUCAAAUGACUAUUUACUCAAAAGAAGGAACGAAGCGAGCAAAUUGAAGGAACGGAGCGAGCGAGCAAACUGAGCUUGCUAGCGAGCUCAAGCUGAGCGACCGUCUUCUUCGUCGAGCGAGCGUCCUCUUCGUCGUCUUCUUCGUCUCUGUGGUUUCAAUUUCUAGGUUUUCUCCCAAUAUAUUCACAUAUUUGUGUGCUAGAAACCACACAACAGAAUGUAGCCGCAUUGCUGAUGGGUCUUGAAUAUCUAAUAAACAUCUCAUAUGUACGCAACCAGUCAGCUUAACGACCUCAUCGGCAAGUCGGGCCAUGCGCUUUCUCAGCUUUAUAGAAAACUUCUCAAAGCUUUUCGUCUGGGACAGGUGCAGGAGGAGGAGUAAAUCCAACAACAGAUUCUUCACUUGUUUCAUCUGUCUCAUCAUUAUGAAACAUCAUCAAGUUGAUAGGUGGCAUAAGUUGUUUAAGCUGAUCCGUAGGAUCAAUUCGCACCUUAGACGCCAUGGCAAACCUAGUGAUCAACGACCCAAAAGGCAGGGAAUGAGUUUCGUAGUAGUCGUCUGGGAUUGCAGCCAGGCAAAUGGCUCGGAAAAUGUGGGCGGGCAGAUCAAUGGACACAUUAUUAUUCCCAAUGGCAUAAAGGAGGCUUGCUCUGUCAAAAUCAAUUAAGCUACUGUCAAGGAGACGUUCUUCAGGGUCGAUAUCAGCACUUACUAUUGUGUUAAGUAUUCUGUAAAACUUAAUCAGAUUGCGAUGGCUUAUUAAAAUCUCAGAUUGAUUACAGUAGCAGAAAGUUGGCUGUGAUCUUCAUUCGCAUUCA